GAAUAGGAGUGCCUUCACAGCUGAUACAAACUGACCUGUUUGUGCUGUCAGAGAUUAAAUAAAAAGGGGAGAGAAGGAAAAGGGAGCUUGGGGUUUCAUUGUAGUACCUUGUGUGGCUGAAAUGGGCUGCAGUGCUCCCUGUGGAAACUUGGUGGAAGAACAGGGGAAAAUGAGAAGCGGCUAUAACUGUUAACAAGACAGAUCUACUGAGUGCAGAGAGAAGGAUGAUAUGGAGCAACUACAAUUAGGACACCAAAAAGGAAAGGAGCUGCAAAAGCACCAGACAGAUAACCCUUCCCUGCUGUGAAGAACAGGCCUUCAUCCAUAGGUCAGUCUCUCAGCUGCUGUGGAGUAGUGCAUGGAACACCCAUGAGGCUCAGUGAGUGGUCUAACCAUAGCUGAUUUCCAGUUGCUGGUGGUUACCUGACUGGCAGAUCAUCUAAUCUACAUGUGAUCACUUUCUUCAAGAAUUCCUUUAUAUUGCAGAUAUUCAACAUUUUAACAACAUAAUAUUGAAUUUUACAACCUAGCUUCCAGCUAUUGUUAUCUAUUAACCGCAGUCCAGUGCUACACCACAGAAGAGUUAAAGCAAUGGAUUAGACAAAUUUUGGAUAAGUUAAAUUUGCUAUUGGUUCAUCUACUGUUUUUGUGAAGUUACAGAAACACAGCAAAAGUCUUUUAUAGACUUGGAGUAUUUUGAGCUAACUAACCUGAAGACAGGACAACCAAAAAUUAAGGAAGGUUAGGGAAAUUAAACUUAACUGGAAUGGUUUAAUCCUGAAAAGUUUUGACUUCUUUCUGAUAUGUGAGUGAGAUCCUUGAUGCAUUAGAUUCUGCAGCUGCUUUCAAGCUAGGACAGUGACUCCAAAUGGGCAAGGUAAAAUUAAAGCCCAAGAAUCAGAAGCUGUGAUGCUUUGCUACACGGGGGAUGACAGCCAGCUCAGGUGUCAGAUGAAGCACCAAGAGGUCUGGCUCUUCUGCUGAGCCCAUUCCCUUGCAAGGAGAGGACUGGGUUAUGUUGGCACUUUUUGCCAUCAGCCACAAGUGUAUUGGGUGGGAGGAGGAUGAUAUGCUACACAUGGGCAUCAUCUCUGAUUAUGUAUAGAGACAGUACAGAGCUAUUAUUCUGUCAUAAGGAGCAACACAGAUUACGUGAUGACCGAUAAAUGUGUCCAACAGCUGGUGAUAGAGCACGGUCUCUCAGCACCUCCUUACUCAGAGAGCACAGCAGUUGCAAUUCUUCUUACAUGCUAUCAUGCUAAGCAGUUUGCUGCUUGUGGCUUAGCUUUUGUGGGACAGGUAAUACUGGAGUGAAGAAUUAUCCAAAGAGAGAGGUAAGUGAUAAAUCAUUCAAGACAAUCACGAAGCAAAGGUUGUGCAGCUCCAGACUGUGUUGAACAGAGCAUCAGUACAAAUAGGUAUUAGAAGGAUUGAUUUUUCCAGCACAUCCAUAAACCCUGCUGGUGGUAUAUUUGCUUUCAAAUCAGACCUUGCUAACAUCUAGCCAGCUUGCUCCAGUGAAGUGAAGGUAGGUCAUUCAGCAGUGGGUUGUGUGCUCCCCUGUUUUAGUGCUUCACACAGGUUUCUCUGGAAACUCCUAUGCACUUUCAGCACCCCUGUGUUGGGUAAAUUGCUUACAUUCAAGCCUAAAUUACCAUUUUAAAGUGUCUUGUAUGUGUUCAAAUAGAACACACAGGGUUAUACAACAUUAUAGACUCUCUUUUCAAUUGAAUUCGUAUCUCAACCUGUGAGAUACGAAUUUGAUCACUCCCAGAGUUUGGCCCAUGUUAAGCUCUGAGGCUUUGGUGUGACACUAAUUGUAAGAAGAGGAUAAGGCUAAUUACAGCAGAGUAAACUGACCUAGUAAGAGAAACCAGAUCCUUUAAUCCUGUAAACACACAGAUCAGUUAAUUGCUAACAUGGGUGUUCUUGUGGAGGGAGGGGUAGAUGGCUAUGAAGUCUCAAAGACUGUUCCAGUUUCACAGACAAUAACUCUCAGCAGUGAAGCAGCUUGUCCAGGGUCCUAAACCAAGCUGGUGGCUGUAGCCCUGCAUGCCAUCUCAAGGAGAACAUGAGGCACAUGCCUGUGGCUCUUGGCGUUUUACAUGGGUGGUUUUUUUUACAAAAAAACAUAGGUGUUUUGUGAUGAAGGGAGUAAGAGACCCUAGUCCUAGCUGAACAAAAUUGUUUGUGGUGGAGUAGUUUUUCCCAGGAAGAAACAUUAUGUCCAAAACUAUGUUGGACUUCUACUGUUAAAAUCACUGAGUGGGGCUGUAGCUGUCCAUUCCAAGCAGCCUGUGGUCAAUAGCUGCAGAAAAAACCCAGAAAAAAAGAGGAAAAUCACAGGAUGUGGUUCUGGAUAAAUGCAGAGCUGUUCUCCAUGCAACUGGAGAAGGCAGUGCUCAGCAUAAUGGGCUUUUGGAUUUGGGGGACUGUGUGGUCCCAACAUCAGCUUUAGCCUGCAGAAAUGUUGCACAGCAAAGGUGGACAGUCAGUGGUGUGGCCUUCUAAGAAAAAAGAAAGCGAAGGAAAAUGUGUUUUGAUUAUCAGAGAGAAGGCGAAAGACUGCCUUUAAAAACAUUUUAGGUUCAAGCCUCUUGCUUAUAGCAGAAGGCAAGAAUUUGUAGUUCUCUCAGAACACACAAAAAUCAGAAGUCGAUGAGAAUUUCUGUCUGCAGUAUUGAGCUGAAAAAGGCUAUUGGCCAGAUAACUAUAGUCUUCCCCCUGAACUUAUACAUUGUGUUUAACU